GGUUCGAUUCUGGCUCAGAUUGGAACGCUGGCGGAUGCUUUGGCCAAUAUGCAAGUCGAACGGCAGCACGGACUUCGGUCUGGUGGCGAGUGGCGAACGGGUGAGUAAUGUAUCGGAACGUGCCUAGUAGCGGGGGAGGAAUUCACGCGAAAGCGUAGCUAAUACCGCAUACGCCCUUCGGGGAAAGCGGGGACCUUCGGGCCUCGCACUAUUAGAGCGGCCGAUAUCGGAUUAGCUAGUUGGUGGGUAACGGCUCACCAAGGCGACGAUCCGUAGCUGGUUUGAGAGGACGACCAGCCACACUGGGACUGAGACACGGCCCAGACUCCUACGGAGGUGCAGUGGGGGGAAUUUUGGACAAUGGGGGAAACCCUGAUCCAGCCAUCCCGCGAAGAUGAAGGCCUUCGGGCUAGAAGACUUUUGGCAGGGAGAAGAAACGGCACGGGAUAAUACCCCGUGCAACUGACGGUACCUGCAGAAUAAGCACCGGCUACUACGUGCCAGCAGCCGCGGUAAUACGUAGGGUGCAAGCGUUAAUCGGAAUUACUGGGCGUAAAAGCGUGCGCAGGCGGUUCGGAAAGAAAGAUGUGAAAUCCCAGAGCUUAACUUUGGAACUGCAUUUUUAACUACCGAGCUAGAGUGUCAGAGGGAGGUGGAAUUCCGCGUGUAGCAGUGAAAUGCGUAGAUAUGCGGAGGAACACCGAUGGCGAAGGCAGCCUUCCCUGGGAUAACACCGAUCAGUUUCUCAUGCACGAAAGCGUGGGGAGCAAACAGGAUUAGAUACCCUGGUAGUCCACGCCCUAAACGAUGUCAACUAGCUGUUGGGGCCUUCGGGCCUUGGUAGCGCAGCUAACGCGUGAAGUUGACCGCCUGGGGAGUACGGUCGCAAGAUUAAAACUCAAAGGACGGGGACCCGCACAAGCGGUGGAUGAUGUGGAUUAAUUCGAUGCAACGCGAAAAACCUUACCUACCCUUGACAUGUCUGAAUCCCGAAGAGAUUUGGGAGAGUGCUCGCAAGAGAACCGGAACACAGGUGCUGUAUGGCUGUCGUCAGCUCGUGUCGUGAGAUGUUGGGUUAAGUCCCGCAACGAGCGCAACCCUUGUCAUUAGUUGCUACGAAAGGGCACUCUAAUGAGACUGCCGGUGACAAACCGGGAGGAAGGUGGGGAUGACGUCAAGUCCUCAUGGCCCUUAUGGGAAUAGGGCUUCACACGUCAUACAAUGGUCGGACAGAGGGUCGCCAACCCGCGAGGGGGAGCCAAUCCCAGAAACCCGAUCGUAGUCCGGAUCGCAGUCUGCAACUCGACUGCGUGAAGUCGGAAUCGCUAGUAAUCGCGGAUCAGCAUGUCGCGGUGAAUACGUUCCCGGGUCUUGUACACACCGCCCGUCACACCAUGGGAGUGGGUUUUACCAGAAGUAGUUAGCCUGUCCGCAAGGAGGGCGAUUACCACGGUAGGAUUCAUGACCGGGGUGAAGUCGUAACAAGGUAA
rnacentral:rRNA from 1 species